rnacentral:rRNA from 1 species
UACGUAGGGUGCAAGCGUUGUCCGGAAUUAUUGGGCGUAAAGAGCUCGUAGGCGGCUUGUCACGUCGGGUGUGAAAGCCCGGGGCUUAACCCCGGGUCUGCAUUCGAUACGGGCUAGCUAGAGUGUGGUAGGGGAGAUCGGAAUUCCUGGUGUAGCGGUGAAAUGCGCAGAUAUCAGGAGGAACACCGGUGGCGAAGGCGGAUCUCUGGGCCAUUACUGACGCUGAGGAGCGAAAGCGUAGGGAGCGAACAGG